rnacentral:tRNA from 1 species
GCUGGUGUAGCUCAGUCGGUAGAGCGACGCACUCGUAAUGCGUAGGUCGCCGGUUCAAAUCCGGCCUCCAGCUCCA